CAGUGGUUCAUCCAAGCAACUAUAAGGAAUUCAUUAUAAUUCAGGAAUAGAGCAUCAGGUUGGAGGAAGGGGAGAAAAGAGAUAUCAUUAAGAACUACUCUGUAAUCCAAGGUAGGGAGUUUGAACUUCAUGACAAAGGCUCCAGAAGCCAGUGGAGGGGUUAACUAGGGAUAUAAGGUUAUUUGCACUUUAAGAAGGUCAUUUUGGAAGAAGUUUGAAGAAUGGCCUGGAAAGGAGGAACCUGGGGGGCCAGACCAGGAAUUGGGAUACUAUAGUGUAAACCAGGUCUGUGGUUCUUAAACCUAAACAUGCAUCAGAAUCACCUGGAAAUCUUGUUAAGACACAGGUUGCUGGGUUCUACUCUGGACAUAAUGACAGAGGUCACGCAGUAUGGAUGCGUUGCUCUGCUGCUGGAGACCCGAGCACUGAUUUGACCAGUAUCAUCAGAUAUAUCCUGCACAGCACUGUUGGCAACAACAAUGGCGUAAUGCAGAUACCGUGGCUUUAGGAGGUGUGGUUGGUAAUGGAUGGACUUGGAUUUGGAACUGUCUCAAAGAUUUACUUUGGAUCCUCUGUGAUGUUUCAAGCCCUUCGUUUUGGCAAGCCUGUCAUUUGCCAGUUGUCAAAUAGGUUGAGUCAUUAGUCUGGCCUUGUCAUCUGGGAGCCUCCAAAUGAUUGAUAUGGUUUUGCUACACUUCCCAACGGGAUAAUUAAGUGCCCACUCAGCUCUGUCUACCUGUUUUUGUGAAAAGUAAAAUGAAAUAAAAAAUUACGUUAUUCUUUUUUUUUUCUACCUGUGAAAGCA